UUCUUUACAGAACUUUAUCGUGUACAUUGCAGUUAGCAUCCAUAAGCUUGGCAUGGUAGUAGCAUAAACCUGCACUCGCAGCAUGUAAAGGUAAAAUGAAGACUGAAUUUGAGGCCACAUAGUGAGUCUCACCGCUUAGACACUACAGUUAAAACCCUAGGGACUUCAAGUUGGAUGGGUGUCAAGGACUGAAGACACAGUCGGCUAAAACAGCAGCAGGUACCUGAGCGGCUCCUGUGAUCAUGUUUGGAAUGAAGUCCUUAUGGCCCGGAGCAUCCAUUAAGAACUUGGUGCAAGCCUGAGUCAGAUCCAAUUUAACUCAAAGUCAACACGGCGGGAUAUGCUGAGGGAGGACAACUCCCAGCAAGACCAACGCAGGAGCCUCCCCAUCCACCAAGACCAACGCAGGAUCCUCCCCAUCCACCACUGCUUGUGUGGUGGCACUGUUCCAUCUUUGCUUUGGGAUAAAUAUUCUCUUAACCUUCUCACAGAGUACAGCAUUGGCAAACAAAAGGACUUUUUAAAGUUUUCUCUGAUGCAUUUUAUAUGUUUUACAUAUUCAACAUACAUUGCACACUUAUUUUAAAGGACUAUCAUUUCAAACUGAAAAUUUUGAAAUAUAGCGACUACCUUUCCCUUUCUUCUCCAGUUUCAUCCAAGACCCAUGCAUAUGCAAAUGAAGCCUUGCCAGCCUUUUUAGAUUCUUGCUCAUACUUAUGCAUAGUUCUUUUGUUUACAUUACCCAGAAGAUAAAGCAUAUGGCCCAUCAGAGUACUUUUCCCAGCAUCAACAUGACCUAAGGAAAAUUGAUUCAGGGUUAAUAACUAGGUACAUUUCAGAUGUUCACAUUGAGGCAUUGCAACACUAAUUCAAUGGCGUGCAUCAGUAUUUAGUAUUUAGUGUAACAAAUACUAAUUUUUAUCAAGGUAAAAACACCUAAAUGGGGGAGGGGUGAGGACUGCACACAUUGUUUUAGAGAGAGCAAAUUUUCCCAUUUUUUGGGGGAGAUGCAUCCCAUUUUCAAAAUGUUCACCAAAUAAAACUGCCACAAGCUAAGUCU